GCUGGGUGUGGUGGUGCACGCCUGUAAUCCCAGAUACUCGGGAGGCAGAGACAGGAGAAUUGCUUGAACCCAGGAGGUGGAGGCUGCAGUGAGCUGAGAUUGUGCCACUGCACUCCAGCCUGGGUGACAGAGUGAGACUCUGUCUCAA
ensembl:misc_RNA Metazoa_SRP Metazoan signal recognition particle RNA